rnacentral:misc_RNA from 1 species
GUGAGUCAUCGAAUCUUUGAACGCACAUUGCGCCCGCCAGUAUUCUGGCGGGCAUGCCUGUCCGAGCGUCAUUUCAACCCUCGAACCCCUCCGGGGGGUCGGCGUUGGGGAUCGGGAACCCCUAAGACGGGAUCCCGGCCCCGAAAUACAGUGGCGGUCUCGCCGCAGCCUCUCAUGCGCAGUAGUUUGCACAACUCGCACCGGGAGCGCGGCGCGUCCACGUCCGUAAAACACCCAACUNCUGAAAUGUUGACCUCGGAUCAGGUAGGAAUACCCGCUGAACUUAAGCAUAUCAAUAAG